GGAUGGGGUAGAAGGAGGGACAGAGAGAAGGGAUGGGGUAGAGGGAGCGACAGAGAGAAGGGAUGGGGUAGAGAGAGGGACAGAGAUAAGGGAUGGGGUAGAGAGAGGGACAGAGAGAAGGGAUGGGAGAGAGAGGGACAGAGAUAAGGGAUGGGGUAGAGGGAGGGACAGAGAUAAGGGAUGGGGUAGAGAGAGGGACAGAGAGAAGGGAUGGGGUAGAGAGAGGGACAGAGAGAAGGGAUGGGAUAGAGAGAGGGGGACAGAGAGAAGGGAUGGGGUAGAGGGAGGGACAGAGAGAAGGGAUGGGGUAGAGAGAGGGACAGAGAGAAGGGAUGGGGUAGAGAGAGGGACAGAGAGAAGGAUGGGGUAGAGAGA
ensembl:lncRNA